rnacentral:rRNA from 1 species
GACGAGGGGUCCAAGCGUUGUUCGGAAUCAUUGGGCGUAAAGCGGGUGUAGGUGGCUCUAUAAGUCAGAAGUGAAAGCCCCGAGCUUAACUUGGGAAGUGCUUUUGAUACUGUAGAGCUUGAAUGUGGGAGAGGAUCGUGGAAUUCCAGGUGUAGUGGUGAAAUACGUAGAUAUCUGGAGGAACACCGGUGGCGAAGGCGGCGAUCUGGCCCAACAUUGACACUGAGACCCGAAAGCGUGGGGAUCAAACAGG